GCUUCCCUGGUGGCGCAGUGGUUGCGCGUCCGCCUGCCGAUGCGGGGGAACCGGGUUCGCGCCCUGGUCUGGGAGGAUCCCACAUGCCGCGGAGCGGCUGGGCCCGUGAGCCAUGGCCGCUGAGCCUGGGUGUCCGGAGCCUGUGCUCCGCAACGGGAGAGGCCACAACAGAGGGAGGCCCGCAUACCACAAAAAAAAAAAAAAAACAGCUCAGCCUAAAUAAAUAAAUAAAUAUUUUUUUAAAAAAUCCAAGGUUAUGUAGAUUUGCCCCUGUGUUUUCUCCUAAGAGUUUUAUGGUUUUAACUCUUGUAUUUAGGUUUGGUUUUGUUUUUUUUUUUUGGUUGCGUCGGGUCUUCGUUUCUGCGCGCAGGCUUUCUCUAGUUGCAGCAAGUGGGAGCUACUCUUGGUUGUGAUGCGUGGGCUUCUCAUUGCGGUGGCUUCUCUUGUUGCGGAGCACAGGCUCUAGGUGUGCAGACUUCAGUAGUUGUGGCUCGCGGGCUCUAGAGUUGCGGUGCACAGGCUCUAGAGCACAGGCUCAGUAGUUGUGUCACAAGGGCUUAGUUACUCCACGGCAUGUGGGAUCUUCCCGGACCAGGGCUCGAACCCGUGUCCCCUGAGUUGGCAGGUGGAUUCUUAACCACUGCGCCACCAGGGAAGUCCCUGUAUUUAGGUUUCUAAUCCAUUUUCAGUUAAUUUUUAUAUGUGGCAUAAGGUAAGGGUCCAACUUCAUUCUUUUGCAUGUGCCAUUUGUUGAAGAGACUGUCUUUGCCCCACUGAGUAGUCUUGGCACUCUUAUUGAAAAUCAGUUCGCUAUAUAUACGGGUUUAUUUCUGGGUUCUCUAUUCUGUUGGUCUGUAUGUCUGUCCUUAUGCCACGCCACACUGUUGCAAUCACUUUCACUUUAUAGGACAUGACCUGGCCUUUUACAUACAUCCCUUCAUCUCCUCCUCACCAAACACUCUGAAGUAGGCAUUAUAUAAUCAUUCUUACUGGGUAAAGUCAGGCCUAAAAGGUUAAGGUGACGUACCCUCCGUCACAAAAUUGGUGGAUGUAUUUACCCUUUGCAAGGCGACAUUGCAAGUGCUCCCAGGCUGACAGACAUACAAAAACCGUGAAUUCUUGUAUCUUGACCUUAAAAACAAUCUCCAUAGUCAGGUGACGUCUAGCCAGGCCUUCAGCAACUAGGAUUCCAAAGCCAGGAUAUUCCAAGAGGAAGAAAGCGAUCCUGAGCAUCUCUGAUCAAGUUAGUGGUUGAAGUCCAAGAGCAUGAUCUCAGAAGCAAUCAGCUGAAGGAGAGGGAAAACCUGGAGAAUGGGGUCGGCCAGGAAUCAGAUGUUUUCAAAAGAGUUUUAAACGCAAAGUAUAUCAGAGUGAUCUUUCCUGCACAGUCAUAAGCUAUCAUGCUACGAUUGAAAAUGGAACAGAUGGGGCUUCCCUGGUGGCGCAGUGGCUGAGAGGCUGCCUGCCAAUGCAGGGGACACGGGUUCGAGCCUUGGUCCAGGAAGAUCCCACAUGCCACGGAGCAACUAAGCCCGUACGCCACAACUACUGAGCCCGCGAGCUACAACCACUGAAGCCCGCGCGCCUAGAACCCGUGCUCCACAAGAGAAGCCACCGCAAUGAGAAGCCUGCACACCGCAACGAAGAGUAGCCUCCACUCGCCGCAACUAGAGAAAGCCCGCGCGACAAAGACCUAACGCAGCCAAAAAUAAAUAAAUAAAAUAAAUUUAUUUUAAAAAAAGAAGGAAAGAAAAUGGAACAGAAAAUGUAUGGUAAUAUGAACCAUUUUUCAGUAAGAAAAAAACGGACCGGGAGGAGGGGAGGAUGGAGAGGGGGAAUGGGGAGUUGGUGUUUCAUGGAGACAGAGUUUCAGUUUAGGAAGGUAGAAAAUUCAGGAGAUGGAUGAUGGUGAGAGUUGCACAACAAUGUGAAUGUAUUUAUGCCACUGAACUGUACAGUUAAAUAUGGUUAAAACGGUAUGUUUUAUAUUACGUGACUUUUACCACAAUUUAAAAAAAAAAAAGAAAGAAAGAAAUGAAAAAACUGACCACCCUUCUGAUUCCAGCCGCUUAGGGGUCUUUGCUCUGCUGAGCUCUGUGUCUGCCCCUGGAAUACGGCUCCCAGAGGACUCAGCCCUCUGUCCCUCUGACUGUUGGUCUUGGGACGGGCUUCACGGCUUUCCAUCGGUUACCUGCCGCUAACCCUUUGCCACCUGAGUCAUCAGCCUGCAGUUGGGCGUGGGAAUGCAAGGCCUUGGCACCACGCCUGAAACAACACAGUGUGAAAAUCAGAGCUGGGAUCUUGAUGUUCUGGGCCCAGUAUAGCAGCAAGCAUGACUUAGAUUUGUUCAGAUCCUUGCAGGGCACAAAGCCCAUUCACGACAUGACCUGUUCUCCUUCUCCCACCAGUAACACCUACCAUUCCUACCCUUUUUGCUUCUUUAUCAUGGAGGAUUGGCCAAAGGAGUUAAGUUAGUUACAAGGGGUUAAGGCUUGUGCUCCCUCGAGCACUGCCCUCGGGUGAACUCCACGUGUCCACUAGUUAAGGGAGCAAGACAGGAUCUUGAAAAUCUUGAACUACUAUUAAUAUGUGUGCUUUUCUCUUUCCAGCUUCCUUGGCGCCUCCUCCCUUAAGAGAAGGCGUCCGCAUUGCUUCAACAGUAUGAGGCGCGGUAAGAAUGUAAAGGUGCAGAAACAAUCGAUAGCCCCUUGGUGGGGGGACUCAGCAGGGAAAAGCUAGGGAAGCAGCAGAGUUUAUGUCACGCGGAGAGAAUCAGAAAGAGGAUCACCCUUGCCUCUGCCCAGACCAUGGGAGAGUCCCCUGGGCAGGGGCAGGGAGGAAGAAUGGGGCUGGGGGUGACCUGAAAAGAGGUGGUGCAGCAGAGGUGCAGAGGGGGUUAGCCCCGGGAGCCCUUCCUGCAAGCAGUGCCCCUCCCCCACCCCACCCCAAGUGACAGUGUGAAGCGCCUGCUCUUCGGGGGAGGGGUAUAGUACUUUCCCGGGGCCGCCAUAACAAAUGACCACUAACUGGGUAUCUUCAAGCAACAGAGAUGUAUUCUCUCACAGUUCUAGAGGCCAGAAGUCUGAGAUCAAGGUGUCGGCAGGGCCAUGGUCUCUCGAGGCUCUAGGGGAGGAUCCUUCCUGGCCUCUUGCAGUUUCUGAUGGUUGCUGGCAUUCCUUGUCGAUCCUCGGCUUGUGCCGAGUAGCUGCAUCACCCCAGCCUCUGCCUGCAUCAUCACACGGCCUCUCUGGGAGUUUCUGAAUUUCUCUCUUCUUGCAGGAAUACCAGUCAUUGGAUUUAAGGCCCACUCUAUUCUAGUAUGACCUCAUUAAAAAAAAAAUUUUUUUUUAAGGAUUGGGGUGCAGGUGGGCGAAGCAACUAAUAAAAAAAGGGAAAAAAAAUUUAAGAUUUUUUUUUUUUAAAGAUUUUUUUGAUGUGGACCAUUUUUCAAGACUUUAUUGAAUUUGUUACAACAUUGCUCCUGUUCUAUGUUUUGUUUUUUUGGCCACGAGACACGUGGGAUCUAAAAUCCCUGACCAGGGGUCCAACCCACGCCCGCUGCAUUGGAAGGCAAAGUCUUAACCAUUGGACCACCAGCGAAGUCCCUAAAGAUUUUUUUUAAUUGAAAUAUUGUUUUUUUGUUCUUUGUUUUCUUUCUUUCUUUCCUUCCUUCCUUCCUUCCUUCGUUCUUUCCUUCCUUCCUUCCUUCCUUCUUUCUUCCUUUUUUCCUUCCUUCCUUCCUUUCUUCCUUUCUGGCUGUGUUGGGUCUUCAUUGCCGCGGCACAGGCUUUCUCUAGUUGCGGCGAGCAGGGGCUACUCUUCGUUGUGGUGGGCGGGCUUCUCAUUGCAGUGGCUUCUCUUGUUGCGGAGCAUGGGCUCGAGGCACGAGGGCUGCAGUAGCUGUGGCUCGCGGGCUCUAGAGCGCAGGCUCAGUAGUUGUGGUGCACGGGCUUAGUUGCUCCGUGGCAUGUGGGAUCUUCCCGGCCCAGGGCUCAAACCCGUGUCCCCUGAAUUGGCAGGCAGAUUCUUAACCACUGCACCACCAGGGAAGCCCUAUUGAAGUAUUGUUGAUAUACAAUAUUGUAUAAGUUACAGGUGCACUUGUAUAAGUUACAGUUAUAGUGGUUUGUAAUUUUUAAAGGUUAUACUCCAUUUAUAGUUAUAUUAUAAAAUAUGGGCUGUAUUCCCUGUGUUGUACAAUAGAUCCUUGAACCUUAUUUUAUAAAUAACUGUUUGUACCUCUUAACCCCCUACCCCUAUAUGGCCCCUCCCACCUUCCCUCUCUGCACUGGUAACCGCUAGUUUGUUCUCUAUGUCUCCGAGUCUGCUUCUUCUUUGUUAUAUUCAUUAAUUUGUUGCUUUUUUUUUCUUUUUUUCUUUUUUUUCUUUUUGUGGUAUGCGGGCCUCCCUCUGUUGUGGCCUCUCCCGUUGCGGAGCACAGGCUCCGGACGCGCAGGCUCAGCGGCCAUGGCUCACGGGCCCAGCCGCUCCG